rnacentral:rRNA from 2 species
UGGAGCUGAAAUCAGUCGAAGAUACCAGCUGGCUGCAACUGUUUAUUAAAAACACAGCACUGUGCAAACACGAAAGUGGACGUAUACGGUGUGACGCCUGCCCGGUGCCGGAAGGUUAAUUGAUGGGGUUAUCCGUAAGGAGAAGCUCUUGAUCGAAGCCCCGGUAAACGGCGGCCGUAACUAUAACGGUCCUAAGGUAGCGAAAUUCCUUGUCGGGUAAGUUCCGACCUGCACGAAUGGCGUAAUGAUGGCCAGGCUGUCUCCACCCGAGACUCAGUGAAAUUGAACUCGCUGUGAAGAUGCAGUGUACCCGCGGCAAGACGGAAAGACCCCGUGAACCUUUACUAUAGCUUGACACUGAACACUGGUCCUUGAUGUGUAGGAUAGGUGGGAGGCUUUGAAGUGUGGACGCCAGUCUGCAUGGAGCCAACCUUGAAAUACCACCCUUUAAUGGCUGGUGUUCUAACGUGGACCCGUGAUCCGGGUUGCGGACAGUGUCUGGUGGGUAGUUUGACUGGGGCGGUCUCCUCCUAAAGAGUAACGGAGGAGCACGAAGGUUAGCUAAUCCUGGUCGGACAUCAGGAGGUUAGUGCAAAGGCAUAAGCUAGCUUGACUGCGAGAGUGACGGCUCGAGCAGGUGCGAAAGCAGGUCUUAGUGAUCCGGUGGUUCUGAAUGGAAGGGCCAUCGCUCAACGGAUAAAAGGUACUCCGGGGAUAACAGGCUGAUACCGCCCAAGAGUUCAUAUCGACGGCGGUGUUUGGCACCUCGAUGUCGGCUCAUCACAUCCUGGGGCUGAAGUAGGUCCCAAGGGUAUGGCUGUUCGCCAUUUAAAGUGGUACGCGAGCUGGGUUUAGAACGUCGUGAGACAGUUCGGUCCCUAUCUGCCGUGGGCGCUGGAGAAUUGAGGGGGGCUGCUCCUAGUACGAGAGGACCGGAGUGGACGCAUCACUGGUGUUCGGGUUGUCAUGCCAAUGGCAUUGCCCGGUAGCUAAAUGCGGAAGAGAUAAGUGCUGAAAGCAUCUAAGCACGAAACUUGCCCCGAGAUGAGUUCUCCCUGAGACUAUAAGUCUCCUGAAGGAACGUUGAAGACGACGACGUUGAUAGGUCGGGUGUGUAAGUGUAGCGAUACAUUGAGCUAACCGAUACUAAUGAACCGUGAGGCUUAACCUU